AAUUGGAGGGCAAGUCUGGUGCCAGCAGCCGCGGUAAUUCCAGCUCCAAUAGCGUAUAUUAAAGUUGUUGCAGUUAAAAAGCUCGUAGUUGAAUUUCGGGGUCAGUAGAUUGGUCGUGCCACUGGUAUGUACUGGUCUUACUGGCUCCUCCUUCCUGAUGAACCGUAAUGCCAUUAAUUUGGUGUUGCGGGGAGACUGGACUGUUACUUUGAAAAAAUUAGAGUGUUUAAAGCAGGCUAACGCUUGAAUACAUUAGCAUGGAAUAAUGAAAUAGGACGUUCGAUCUUAUUUUGUUGGUUUCUAGGAUUGACGUAAUGAUUAAUAGGGAUAGUUGGGGGCAUUAGUAUUCAAUUGUCAGAGGUGAAAUUCUUGGAUUUAUUGAAGACUAACUACUGCGAAAGCAUUUGCCAAGGAUGUUCUCAUUAAUCAAGAACGAAAGUUAGGGGAUCGAAGACGAUCAGAUACCGUCGUAGUCUUAACCAUAAACUAUGCCGACUAGGGAUCGGAUGAUGUUAAUUUUUUAAUGACUCAUUCGGCGCCUUACGGGAAACCAAAGUGU
rnacentral:rRNA from 1 species